rnacentral:rRNA from 1 species
GACAGAGGAUGCGAACGUUGCUCGGAAUUACUGGGCGUAAAGCGCGAGCAGGUGGCCUUGUAAGUCGGGUGUGAAAUCCCGGGGCUCAACCCCGGAAGUGCACACGAUACUGCGAGGCUGGAGUACUGAAGAGGAGAGCGGAAUUCCCGGUGUAGAGGUGAAAUUCGUAGAUAUCGGGAGGAACACCAGUGGCGAAGGCGGCUCUCUGGGCAGAUACUGACACUGAGACGCGAAAGCGUGGGAAGCAAACAGG